UGCCCUCAGCAAUGAGCACAGAGACUCCGUGGUGGUGGUGGCAGUGUUCUUAUAUCAGCCAGGAGCAGAGCAGAUGGCAAUCCUUUGCUCAUUCUAGCUUGACAUCUGGCUUGGUGGCCAAAGCCGUUUUAUGCCUAGGAUACACAG